AUGGGGUUAAAAGAACAAUUGAAAACGCAUUAACAUUCAGAAUUUCAGGCUAAUAUAAUGGUUUGAGUAGUCUCUGCACCAUUUAGAUUCUAGGUCUAUGGAUCUAGAUCUUUGACUACUUUCUCAACAGCUGAAACUUCGAGUCCAUGGAGGUCGUCUGGAAAACCUGAUAAAUAAACAAAUCAUUGGUUUACUGUUUAAGCAAUACAAACUAAAUCUUA
rnacentral:lncRNA from 1 species